rnacentral:tRNA from 1 species
GCCCAGAUAGGUCAGAGCAUCAGACUUUUAAUCUGAAGUCCAGGGUUCAAGCCCCUAUUCUGGCA